GUCAUUGUCCAGCUGCUUGUCUGGCACCGCUAACUCCUUCCUCUUCCUCUCCAGAGGAUGUCGACAUUUCCAGUACAGACGGGCAACGCCACCAGCUCUUCUGGCUGCAGCUCUUCCUUCUUUAAACCUCCUUUGAAGCCUCAACCCACGAGGCUCUCAGCCACCCCAUGUUCACUCAGAGGGGUGUAAACUAGCACACCUUACAGAAGCAAAAAGGACAGAAAAGUACAAGAUUUCUCAGCUGUGCUCUUCAGCAAUAUCAAAAUAUAAGUUAAGUACCUUUUUUUAAAUUCAAGAGUGAAAAGGGCACAGCCACAUCUGGACUAGGCAAGACAAAACUCCAACAGUGAGAACAACUCAGUGUUCAACAUCUGGGAUUCCCUCGGAACACUAUGGAUCCUCCCUCCAAGGGGCCUGGGUCACCUCUGCCUCCACCUUCAUAUGGUCUCCUAGGCUCCAGCCAGUUCCAUUGCAUUGUUGCUGUUCUUUCUGGUGGCUAUCACAGGGCACAGGCAUCUCCAAAGCUAUAGGUGUCUCCUGGGCUCUCUUUAGGAACUCCAGCCCUCCUAUACAAACUUUCCAAACCUCUGCUGUAUUAUGUGACCCCUUCAUGCCUGUAAAACCUGCACCACAUGGGUGCUUCUGACAUUACAAAGUUCAGCUGCCAGCACAAUGUAUGUUCUUACAUAUGAACACACAGAGGUGCACCUUAAAUACAUUAUUAAACAAGUAUUGUUUUUAAUCAUAUCUUUUAUAAACCUUGUUUUUAUGACUUUGUUUUUGGGCAAGAAUUAUAACACAAAAAUCCACCCAGAUCCAGAAUAUCUUGGAAACACUGUUGCCUCCUUAGUUGAUUUAUGCCAUGUGGUCACCUCCAAUCAAGAUGGCGAUGAAGUCAUAUCCUCUAUAUGCCUUCACAUUCUAUAGCACCCAGCGCCCAGAAGUCCAGAACACCUUAAUAAGUGUGUAAUGAACUGCGUUUGACUAAAACUGGAGAUAUGCAGCUGUUAACUAAUGGCCGUGAAGAUACAUGAAGCCUCUAUUAAAUGCCAGAUGUCUCCUCUGAUCUGCAUGGUGUUCUGAGACGGCUAUUAUGUCAUGUGGUGAGAACUGUGUACGGUGAUUUUACAGUGAGGAAACAAACAUAUGAUUUGAUGAAAGGAUAACCAUUUUAAAUUAUAGUUAUUAAAAUUCUAUAAAUCCGAA
rnacentral:lncRNA from 1 species